AGCAUCGAAAAGAGGUUGCAAAUGAUAAGAGUAGCUAUUUAUGAGAUGUUGGAGCAUCCACGACUAAUAGUGAAAGGAGAAUUUGCCGAAAUAAUAUGUUGCUGCAACAAUAUAUUAUUGGGACUUGACUUAAAAGGUCAAGGACUGUCAUGCGUUUUAUGCAUGGAGUGCUAUCGAGUGU
rnacentral:ncRNA from 2 species